rnacentral:rRNA from 1 species
AUUGAACGCUGGCGGAAUGCUUUACACAUGCAAGUCGAACGGUAGAGGGGGCAACCCCUUGAGAGUGGCGAACGGGUGAGUAAUAUAUCGGAACGUGCCCAGUCGUGGGGGGUAACGUAGCGAAAGUUACGCUAAUACCGCAUACGAUCUAAGGAUGAAAGCGGGGGACUCGCAAGAGCCUCGCGCGAUUAGAGCGGCCGAUGCCUGAUUAGCUUGUUGGUGGGGUAAAAGCCCACCAAGGCGACGAUCAGUAGCUGGUCUGAGAGGACGAUCAGCCACACUGGGACUGAGACACGGCCCAGACUCCUACGGGAGGCAGCAGUGGGGAAUUUUGGACAAUGGGGGAAACCCUGAUCCAGCCAUGCCGCGUGAGUGAAGAAGGCCUUCGGGUUGUAAAGCUCUUUCAGACGGAAAGAAAUACGGUGUGUUAAUACAUGCACUGGAUGACGGUACCGUAAGAAGAAGCACCGGCUAACUACGUG